GAAGAGGUGGAGGAAUAUGAGAAGAGGAGGAGAAGAAGAAAAGAGAGAAAAAGAAAAGGACUCCCUUGGACUGUGUCCUCACUGUGACCCAAGAGGAGGUGGCCACUCAACGCUGAGGUCACACGGCUCCCUUCCUUAUGCAGGUCGAGAGCAGCACCUGUGAAACCUUGUGCUGCACUUCUAGGCCUUGAUACACUUCUGCGACGUCUUCGUGGCCUGCCACGCCAAUAAGACGCUCCACGCCCACGAAAUCCUGCGAGGCGAGCAUGUGGCGGUGGUGCAGUUUCUGUAUCACUGAGACUGAGAAUAUCAUCGUAACUACUGCUAUAUUCACAUCCUUCAGUCACUAAGUCAAAUUCACUGUCUUCACUCUCAUCAGUGAUGUGAAAGUCAUUGUCAGAUUCAUCACUUUCAUCAGAAAAAAGUGGGGUAGAUUCGCCCGGUGGGUUGUCUCCACCCGACGCGUGGCGGGAGGUGCCAGGUCUCGCCUCCAUGACGAACACAAAGUCUCUGAGAUGUGUGUGAAAACAGUCAAACUGGCAACUCAGCUAGUGGAGAGUGAUGCCACCCUACAGCCCCGCCCCAGUCUUCAAAUGUUAAGCGGGAAAAAUCAUGAUUACCGAUACGAUCGCCGUCUCUCUGGACGGAACAAUAUCAUCAUUCAUGUACG